CGCUAGCGGCAGGCUUAACACAUGCAAGUCGAGGGGCAGCAUAAUGGAUAGCAAUACACUGGUGGCGACCGGCGCACGGUGCGUAACGCGUAUGCAACCUACCCAUAACAGGGGGAUAACACUGAGAAAUUGGUACUAAUACCCCCAUAACAUCAGGACCGGCAUCGGUUCUGGUUGAAAACUCCGGUGGUUAUGGAUGGGCAUGCGUUGUAUUAGCUGGUUGGUGAGGUAACGGCUCACCAAGGCAACGAUACAUAGGGGGACUGAGAGGUUAACCCCCCACAUUGGUACUGAGACACGGACCAAACUCCUACGGGAGGCAGCAGUGAGGAAUAUUGGUCAAUGGACGCAAGUCUGAACCAGCCAUGCCGCGUGCAGGAAGACGGCUCUAUGAGUUGUAAACUGCUUUUGUACGAGAGUAAACGCUCUUACGUGUAAGAGCCUGAAAGUAUCGUACGAAUAAGGAUCGGCUAACUCCGUG
rnacentral:rRNA from 1 species